CGGCAUAUGUAGCACUCUCUGAAGCUGUAACCGAAAGUUAUACUCAUAUAUGUGAACUAAAAAAAGUAAAUAGGCCAGAUUCAGUAAGGCAAUCGGUGCCGGAAUGUGUAGACUGACAUCUGUUCUUCCACCCAACCCAAAACAGACUACUGAAUGGCAAAUCAAAACAAACACAAAAAAACAUUGAUUACUUUCAAAUACACCUACGAUACAAGGAAUAUAAACAUUGCCAUCACUAAAUUAAUAAAUCUCAGUUCAAAGUGAAAAUAAAGAUUAGUCAAAGAAA